AGGCUUGUAGCUCAGGUGGUUAGAGCGUACCCCUGAUAAGGGUGAGGUCGGUGGUUCAAGUCCACUCAGGCCUACCA
rnacentral:tRNA from 1 species